ensembl:lncRNA
CAGAGCUGAAGAUGUUAAAACUUCCAUUGGUAGUGACCAGGAUGGACAGUUUAGAAAUGAGUACAUCAGAUGAACAGCUCAGCUUGAGUGGUUUGGAGACAAAGUUAGUAAAAGCAAAGCUCAAAUUUCUGGCAUGUGCAGAGGAGGGAUAGUAGAUGUAUUGAAAAAGAUCGAAUAAGGAGCGGCAAGGGAGGAGGAAAGGACCAAAGAGAAGAUUCAUGGAUGGAGUGAAGAAGGAAAUGCAGAGGGUUGGUAUGACAGAAGAGGGACAGAGUGAGAUAGAGACAGAUGAUCAUCUGUGGUAAUCCCAAAAGGAACAAAAAAAAAGUGAUUGUGCUGUUUUCAUAUGGCUGGUGCCCAAGUGUUACCAGGAAGUACAGGGUUGGCUGCUUACUUGUGACAAAUGAAUGACUGGUAAUGAAUUAGUCAAUGCUGCUACCCAGGUAAGUUACAGCCAUUCAAACACCUCAGUCACUUUAGAUUGUAAGGUAAAAACCCUACAGACAAAACCGCAACAAUCAAAUGAUCAGUCUUCACUGAAACUGAGCUGCCGACUUGUCUUUCAGACUCUCAUUGACUGUACAGUUGUUCUGAAAGGGCAGCCGGGCUAUGGAACAUGUCAUGUUCUCGGGGUUUGGUUACGUUUUCGAGUUUUAGACUAGUUUUUUUUUUUAUUCCAGUUUCAAAUGAUAAUUUUUUUUUAUUGUGACACUGACCUUUGGGAUCGUUACUUUCCUGGUUUCUCUUUGUUUGUUGCUGGUACUCUAGUGUUUGAAGUUUUGAUUUUUGUGUUUGUUUUGGGGGAUUUGGGGGGUUUAUUUAUUAGUCUAGUAGACUGUAAGUUUUACCUCUUGUGAUAUUAUUACUAAGUAUUUGAGUCAUUGUUUUUGCUUUAUAUGAUAAAUGGUAAAUGGCCUGUAUUUAUAUAGCGCUUUACUAGUCCCUAAGGACCCCAAAGCGCUUUACAUAUCCAGUCAUCCACCCAUUCACACACUGGUGAUGGCAGCUACAUUGUAGCCAAAGCCACCCUGGGGCGCACUGACAGAGGCGAGGCUGCCGGACACAGGCACCACCGGGCCCUCUGACCACCACCAGUAGGCAAUGGGUGAAGUGUCUUGCCCAAGGACACAACGACCGAGACUGUCCAAGCCGGGGCUCGAACCGGCAACCUUCCGAUUACAAGGCGAACUCCCAACUCUUGAGCCACGAUCGCCCCUUUAUGAUAAUAAGGGUUGAAGUUAAGCUUGUCCAGGCUUGUGUUUCAGUGACUUCCUGUUUUAUUUUAAAGGUUAGCUUUCUUUUGUAAUUUUCUGAUUCUUUCUCCUGUGUCUCAUUCCCCUCAUACUGAUAUAUAUAUAUAUAUAUGAUGCGAGGAGAGGAAAAUGUGUGAUUUGGUAAAUGAGAA